AGUGGGGAAUAUUGCGCAAUGGGGGCAACCCUGACGCAGCCAUGCCGCGUGAAUGAAGAAGGCCUUCGGGUUGUAAAGCUCUUUCAGAUGUGACGAUGAUGACGGUAGCAUCAGAAGAAGCCCCGGCUAACUUCGUGCCAGCAGCCGCGGUAAUACGAAGGGGGCAAGCGUUGUUCGGAAUCACUGGGCGUAAAGAGUUCGUAGGCGGUCUUGCCAGUCAGAGGUGAAAGCCCAGGGCUCAACCUUGGAACUGCCUUUGAUACUGCAAGACUAGAAUCCGUGAGAGGGUGGUGGAAUUCCCAGUGUAGAGGUGAAAUUCGUAGAUAUUGGGAGGAACACCAGUGGCGAAGGCGGCCACCUGGCGCGGUAUUGACGCUGAGGAACGAAAGCGUGGGGAGCAAACAGGAUUAGAUACCCUGGUAGUCCACGCCGUAAACGAUGAGUGCUAGAUGUCGGGGUACAUGUACCUCGGUGUCGCAGCUAACGCAUUAAGCACUCCGCCUGGGGAGUACGGCCGCAAGGUUA
rnacentral:rRNA from 1 species